ACGUACGUGGGCCACUGGGCCGUGCGUUUCGUUUCCUGGACUCCACCGAGCGAGCCCGCGGCUUCCUCCUCCUCCUCCCCUCUCCCUCCGCUCCGGCGGAGCGCCGCGAAACGCCCGCCGCAACCGAGCCCACCGUCGAGGCGAUCGGCGGCGGAGGCGAGGGCCGCCGCCUUCCGUCGCAGGGGUCACCUUCUUCGUCCUCCCCCGGUCUCCCCCUGGGAGGGGAUUUUGAGGGAAGCUGCCCGCCAUGUUCCGACCACCGGGUGCUUUCGGGGUCGCACCCCCGCCGCCGCCGCCGCAGCAGCAGCAGCAUCAGCCAUGGCAGUGGCAGCCGCCUUUCCAGCCGCCGGCCGCUACAUCCUUUUGGCAGCGGGACAAUGUGCGGGAGCAUGUGGGGAGGCUGCAGGAAACCAUCGAAUUAGCCACUGCAGUGAUAAAUGAGCUCGAGGAAAUUGCGCAGGCUAGAAACUCGGUCGAUGCUAGCACGCAAGGACCUGACUCGUCUUCAGCAAAAUUGUCAUCAGAGCCUGAUGGUUCUUCUGCAGAUAGGCCCCGGCAUUUCGUUGAGCUUGCUAGAGCUAUGAAGAUUAGUCAAGACACUCAUGAGUCUCUGGCCACAGAUGCUGCUAAUUAUCUUUGUUCUCAGAUUCAGAACCUUCUUGCACCUAUUUAUCCUGCUGUGAACCAAGGGGGUCCUUGGGAAGAGAGGUAUGCAAUGAUUAGGUUAGCUCAGAAGCUGCAGAAAUCCAAGAGAAAUAAGCGAUGGAGAAAGAGAAAAAGAAAGCAUGUUGCAGAGCUUUUCCAGAAGGAGCAUGCAGAUUAUGACAGAAUUGAUCAGGAAGCUGAUGAAUGGAGGGCUAGGCAAAUAGCCAAGGACAUGGCGCAGCGCAAGGUGGAAAACAUGAAGCAGAUUGCCAAGAAAAAAGCAAAUGAGGAAAGAAAGCGUCUAGAAUCUGAGCUUGAGCUUGCCCUAAUGGUCGAGAAACUACAGGAGCUUCGCUCUAUGAGAGUUCAAAAAAUGAAGAAACAAGGUCAUUUUCUGCCAGAAGAAGAUGAUAAAUAUCUUGAGCGUGUUAAGGCUGCAGUUGAGGAAGAGGAGCGCCAAGCUGCAAGUGCUGCUCGGACUGAUGCUGCCAAGGAUGCUAUUCUGACCGCGGAAGAGUCGAGGAAGGCUGUGCAGUGUUCAAAUUCAAGAGAAGAUGAUUCUGAUCAAGCCAAAAGUGCACCAACACUGGAACAAAACCAGAGAGAUCCAGGAAUAAGCGGCAGAAAUCAUCAUGCAAGCCAAAAAACAGAGCAUGAACUUCAUAAAGAUGACAGCAAAGGGCAUGGGCAUUAUGAUUCUGUUUCCAGUCUGCCUUUUGAGUUCUACCAUUAUUAUCAUGGAAGCAGCUACGACAUGGGAACACUCAUUGAGGUCCGCAGGAUGUGGGAUUCCUUUAUUAGAGCUGGAGGAAGCCGAAUACCUGGGCACUGGGUUCAGCCACCCCCUCCAGCUGAUGAAGUAUGGGCAUCCUAUUUAGUGCAGCCCAACUGUCCAAGUAACUCCACUUAGCUGUAAUGAAUUUAAUCUUCUUCUGCCUAACCACUGGAAGUUUUCAAGGUUAUCACAAGCUGCAUUUUGGGACUAUUGGUUAGGACUUCAGCUUUUCCCCUAUGAUGAGCCAUAUAGAUGGCCCCGAGAAAAAGAUGGCCAACGAAAAAAUCGUGGACACCAUUAGGAGAAAACAAGAGGUUAGUGAAUUGGAUGGCAUUAGCACCCAGUACUAUAUAUCUCUAUAAUAGAGUAAUAAGGACACGGCAUAAUGCCUGCUGCCUUUCUUGUUGUGCUUGCUUGCUCCUCCCAUUUUCUUAUCUCUUUGAGGUGAUUAGUGAUUACACAGACCAACAACUGAAUCCUAAAGCUCGUAAUGACAAAUUUGAUGAUACUUGCAAUUAUGGAAAGAUAUCUUAUUGCUUUCAUGAAAAAAUAAUGCCGCUUUAGUCAUUGAA